UUUUGAUCCACGUUAGUUGGAGACAGCAUGGUUAAUGUAGGCUUGGUUUAAAGGAAGGUCUUGUUAACAUAAUUAUGACCUUAUAGCCUACAGGGCAUUUUAAAAAUUGGACUUCUCUUUUAGUUCACAUUUAUGAACAAACAUAUAGUUGCUGGGAGUUCACAAAUAUUUUCCCAGAUUAGUUCAGUAGUUUUUUCUUUUUAAGGAAAGAUUCUCUGCCUGUGUAAUAGAAUAGUUCUAACCUGCUGGGCUAAAAACCCAAAAAACAUUCUCUGAAGGGACCAUACUUACUGUUAACAGUUUUGGUUGGUUAAUAGAUGUGGAUCAUAUCCCACCGCUCUCAAUUUUAUUUUGUCAUCUUCCUCCCCCCCCCCUUGCUUUUAAAUUAAAAACAAACUAAAUUGAACAUGCCAUUGGGAAUCAGAAGUCGAGAUGAUUUAAUUCUCAUUGAGAUCAUUGUACUUUCUGAAAAUUGCUGUGAGAUCUGGUAGGUCAGGUACAUAUAUGAGUUCCCAUAUGUUUAUUAAUUAAAAAUAGGGAUUUUCAUUAUUUCAUUUUCCUGAAGAGGAUUCUUACGGAGCUAUGUGUAGAUAACUGUACAGAAUCACUUUUGUGUAAUUGAGUGAAGCAGUUUACCUCUGCAUGAUUGCAUUAUGGAAGCCUUUUAUAUAUCUUUAUAUUUUUCAAUAUACUUAGAUUUUACACUAUCAGCUGCCCUAGUCAUGCUAUAUUUGUUUUUUUUUAAUAGAGUUUAUAAAUAUUUGUGCUCAAAAUACAGAUCAAUUGAAUAUUUUUGGUCUUGUUUACAAGAUAAAUAAUACUUUAAAGUGAUGCAGCCCCUCAAGUGUCUUAGGAAAAAGUCAUUGGUGCUACAAAACCUUUCAAUAUCAUUUUCAACCUGUUAUCUAGACUUUGCUAGGCUUAAAUCUAUGAUUGCUUAUAACUUAAUCUAAUCUAGCAGCAUAAUUAUAAAAGUGGUCUGCGGUGAGUCGGGUAAAGAGCCCAGCCAAUUAGAAACAUCCCAUAAUUUAAAGAUAAGAUGGAGAAUGACAUUAUACUAAUUUGUGUCCAGCUUCCCCAAAAGAAAAUAGUUUCUUCAGUUUUUCAUUAGCUCUUUUGAUAAAAGGAGUGGUGUGUUAAUAUGACUAGAAUAAAGAAAAUGAUACAUUCAGCAUGGCUCAGUUUUCCCACAUUUCAAAUGGAAAACUUUUCUAGUCCUAAAAUAUGGUGUAAUCCUGUUCUGCUUUAAAUUCCCAUCUGUCUUUUACUCAACAGGAGGCAGGGUAAUUCUUAAAUAUUUAUAGAACAUUUGAUAAGUUCUAAAGAGAUGUAUUAUUUACAUUGUACAAGUUUUGUGUUGAUGUGCAGAUUGUUUUCUACAUCUGCAAGACUUCAUUCCAGCACCUUAGUGAAUGUUCUUAAGAUACAAUUUUUAAGUAUCAGCAAAGCAUUCAUAGAUGUUUACUUUUGAUUCUCAGAAUCCUGAACCUGUUUUGGGUAUGAUGUUACUUCACAACAUGUCUGGCACAAGAUUUCCUUUAAUAGUGGUUUAGUCUAACUCAAUUUCUGUGGAUUGUUGAACCGAAAAACACCAAAGGAGUUCUUUCUUGUCUGGAGACUGGAUUGUUCCAGUUUUUAAUACCUGUGCCCAUAAGUAUCCCAUUUCACGAGUGUGUGUUGGCAUGGGGGAAAAAUUCCCUGCUCUUUGAGUGGAGCGAAAGUAAUUGGUUAAGCUGUAGCAGCUUUUUUUGUUUAUUUUCUAAAGUGAUAAUAAAACUUGAACUGAAAAUGGUAAAACUUGAACUAGAAAACUACUCUUGUAUGCUUAGAAUGUUUAUAGUAUUACGUGUUUAUGUGAGGUUGUCAACAUUUUUAUUAUUUAUAGUUGAAUUAUGUUUUGUUUGUUAAAUAUCCAUAAUGUUUAUUAUUUUUAUAUUUUGAAAAAUUUUAAAAUAAAAUAGUCUUACUAAAAGCAGUUGUUAACUUUUUAAAAUUGUCUUGCAUUUUGCAUCAAUUAUAGUAACAUAGAAUAGAAAGGAAAACUUGCAGCCCUUGGGCACUGCACAAGUAGAAACAUAAAGUGCUUAUACUGUCAACUUCCAAGGCCAAUGAAAGUUUUUGGAACUUCCCUCCAUAAUUUUCAGUUUUCAUCUGAACAUUUCUUCUCCUGAUCUAAUUUGAUAUACUUUUCCAGCAUUCAGCAUGUUCAUUUCAUACUUAUUUUUAUUGAAUGAUAAAUAUUGCAAUAUUUGUUUUUUGUGUUUGUUUUUCAUUGCAGAUAUCCCUUCCAUCAUCUAUAACUUGGGUUAAAUAAGUUUGGUAAUAACCUGUCUUCCACUGCUUCUACAAGAAAAUACAUUAUCAUCUCAGUAUAUAAGUUUUGAUAAAAAUCUAGUUAAAGAGAUCUGGUUAUGAAAUAGUAGAAGUCUCUGGCUUAAAAUAGAGGACUUUGGUUAAUAAAUAAUGAUACUUGGUAAAAUUAUUAAAAAGAAUUAUAUAUAUAGAUAUAUACCUAUAUAUAGUACAAAUUACACACAAAAAUGUAAGCCUUUAAAGUCUUUCACAUUUUGAACCGUGUUUUAAUCUUAAAAUGACAUUUGUCCCUAAGAUCUCAUUUAAAUCAGAAUUUUCAGGGACAUUACCAACCCAUUAUUUAAAAAAAAUAACAUCUGUGAUUUAAAACUUCGUAGACAAUCCUGUAUUUUUUAUUAGAAGUCAGUGUUAGGAAGAAAUACUUAGAAGUUAUAGCCGUCUGCAAGUUUGGAGUUGGAUAGCUUUCAAAUUUGUACUAAGUUUAAUGCAGUAUUUGUUGUUGUUUAGGGUUUUUUGGGGGAUAAAUAACUGGAUAAUAUGCCAACUUCAUAUUUUUUUUCUUAUCAAGUUGAUAUUCAGAGUUAACAGAAAUUAAAGAAUGAUGAUAAAAAGGAAGAUCUCUGGCAUUUAACAAUUGUCAUGUCUGAAUGAGGUAAGAAUUUACAUAGAAACCAAACAGGUAACUCUUUGACAAAAAUAUUGAAUACUGAGCUGAUUAUUAGUCAUGACAGCCCUCACAUACAUCAUAUUUAUAAUAUUAAAUGGAUGAAAACUGCAUAUACUAAUGUAAUAUCCUAACCAACCAUUUUUUGGUCAACCUAAAAGGAGUAGGUCGUUAAAAUUUUGUUUUGUCAAGGUUUCCAGUGAAAAAAGAGAGAAUCCCCAGAUUGGGAGUGCUCACAAAAGAAUAGAGCCAUAUAAGGUGCCAAGGAUGGGAAGAGGAGGAUGGAUUAUAGAUUUAGUCCUGCAUUUGUGAAAAUUCUGACUGAAGCAGCCUGGAAGCAAGUAGUACUUUUUAUUUUUAUUUUUCUCCUCGACUGAUAAGCUUUAUGGAGCAUCAAAAGACAUGAAAAUUUCAUAGAAAAACAUGUAUCCAGGGCACAUCUAUUCAAGGUCCUGCUUGUGUUUCUCAUGGGGAUCCACUUAAGGAAGGGAUGAUGAUAGCAACCUGAGCGAGUUACAUUGCCCCCCACCCCAAUAACUCCCUCUUAUCUGCCACAAGAGCACCUCAGCACAACUUAUCACAUAAAGCCAUAAGCCACGCCACUCAGACCUAAUGUCCAGACUCAAUGUCCCAAGAUUUUUACUGUGCUAUGUAUGUAACCUACCUGUGACUGCCCUUACCCACUUGGACCUGGGAACAUUCCAAAUGUGAACAAUUAGGGCCUUCCUGUGUGCAGUCCCAACUAUGGCAUACUGCAAACUAUAAACUUAGAAAAAUCAAUUGCAUUUCUAUAUACUAGCUCUGAACACCUGGAGGCUGAAAUUAAAAAUACAGUGCCAAUUAUAAUAAGCGAAAAAGUGACAUACUUGUGUGUAAAUCUAAAAAGCUGUGUACAGGACUUGUAUGCUGAAAACUACAAAAUGCUGAUUAAAAAAAAAAGAAAAGGAGACCUAAGUAAAUGGAGAGACUCAUGGGUCGGAGAACCCAAUGUAGUAAGUGUGUCACUUCUCCCCAGACUGAUACACAGGUUUGACAUAAGUAAUUUUCUUUUUGGUAGAUACAAGAUCAUACAAGAAUUUAUAUGGAAAGGCCAAAAAAGAACUAGAAUAACUAAAAUGAUUUUUUUAAAAGAAGAAUCAAGUGGGUGAAAUUAUCCAAUUUCAAGACUUAUAACUAUAGUAAUCAGGACUGUGUUCUUGAUGGGAGGGAUAGACAUAUAGAGAUCACAGAAGUAGACCCACAUGAGUGUGCCCAACUGAUUUUUAACAAGGUGCAAAAACAGUUGAAUGGAGGAAAUAAUUGCCUUUUCAACAAACAGUCCUGGAACGAUUGGUCAUCCCUCGGCAAAAACAAAAUGAACCCUGACCUAAAUCUCACACCUUACUCAACUCAAAAUGGAUCAUGGACUUAAAUAUAAAGCUAUAACUUUUAGGAAGAACAAAGCAUCUGGAAAAAUCUUUGGAACCUAGGGCUAGGCAAAAAAGUUCUUAAGACUAGAUACCAAAAGCUUAAUCCAUAGAAGUAUGAUAGAUUGAACUUCAUCAAAAUUUAAAACUUCUGCUCUGUGAAAGAAUCUGUUAAAAGGACAAAGAGAUAAGCUACAAAGUGGAAGAAAGUACUUGCAAACCACAUUUCUAUUAUGUGUCAGGAUUGGUAUCUAGAUUGUAUCAUUAACUCAAAGCAAAACAAUAAAAAAGCCAGCAAUCCAAUUAGAAUAUAGGCAAAAGACAUAGAGACAUUUCCUCAAAGAUGACAUUCAGAUGACAAAUAAGCUUGUGAAAAGAUACUCAACAUUCUUUGCCAUUAGGGAAAUGAGAAAAUUAAAACCACAAUGUGACAUCACUACAUACCUAUCAGAAUGGCCAAAGUAAAACAGUGACAACACUAAACGCUGUCAAGGAUGCAGAGAAACUGGGUCACAAAUACCCAGUACAUUGCUGGUGAGAAUUGGAUAGCAACUCUGGAAAACAGUGUGGCAGUUUCUUAAAUAGCCCAACAUACAACUAUCAUAUGAACUAGCAGUUAUACUCCUGGGCAUUUAACUUAUUUUCACGCAAAUACCUGUACACGUUCUCAUAGAAGCUUUAUUCAUAAUAGUAAAAAACUGGAAAUAAUCCACAGCAUUCAAUGGGUGAAUGGUUACGGAUAACAUCCGUUCCAUGAAAAUACUACUCAGCAGUAAAAAAAAAAAAAACUAUUGAUACAUGCCACUCCGGGAUGAAUCUCCAGAGAUUACACUGAAUGAAAUAAGCCAGCCCCAAAAAGCUACUGUGUGAAUUCCAUUUAUAUAGUAUUCUUGAAAUGACAAAAUUAUAGAGAUGAACAGACUAGUAGUUGCCAGGGAUUAUGGAGGUGGUGGCGGUAGGAGGAAAGCAGAUGUGGCUGUGAAAGGGAAACGAGGGAUCCUUAUGGUGAUGGAAACUGUUCUCAUCUAUCAAUGUAAGCAUACUGGUUGUGAUAAUUGUACUAUAGUUUUGCAAGAUACUACCAUUGGAUUAGCAGAAAUUUGGUAAAGGGUAAUGGGACCUCUGUGUUAUUUCUUAUAGCUGCAUGUGAAUUUUAAUUAUCUCGAAAUCAAAAGUUUAAUUUUAAAAACAAUAAAGGCAGAAUAACAUCUAACUAGUCCCAUUUUAGGGUGCAAUCUAGGGAAAUGCCUUGGAUGUGUGCCCCCCAUAAAGAAUGAGGUUUUGGGAAUUCCCUGGUGGUCCAAUGGUUAGGACUCCGCACUUCCAUUGCAGGGGGCACAGGUCCCCUGGUCGGGGAACUAAGAUCCCGCAUGCCGUGUGGCGCAGCCAAAAGAAAAGAAAAAGGUCUUGAGAACAAGUAUUUGAGGUGUAUAAAAGCAAUGAAUUGAGUUUGCACACUUGAGAACUUUUGGAAUUACUGCAGACUUAUUUCUCUCACUGGUUACACCACAGCCAGUGCCAGUAAAUGAAGUAGUUCUAUAUAUAUGUUGCAUGUUAAUUCUUCCCAUCAGCAUUGCUGCCUGAAAGGGACUUCAGACUGAGAAAUGGCACAGCUCACCUACCUAUGAAAAGGUGGGUGAGGAGUAAAACAAUUGAUUCUUAUCUCACUCUUCCUGUCCUUUACCAUAGUUCAGGAGGGUUGAAAUCAUCCAAAAGGGGAAGGAAACAGAACAAAAGCAAAAUUUUAAAUGCUCUGAAGGAACAGAGUUUCAUGAAAGUAUAAAGCAAAUGGAUCUGACUUAGGAAAGGCUUCCCGUAACAAGUGAUCUUUCAUUUGAGAUGAGAGCUAAGCAGUCUACUAUGGGGGAGCAUAUUCUUGAGGGAGUGAACAGUUUUGUACAGAAGUACUAUAGAGGGACCAGAUGUGCAUUUGAAGAAUGAGAGAAACCCAGUGUGGCUACAAGGCAGAGAUACACAAUUUGAGAAUUACUUAUUACAGAAAUCUUAAUCUGUCAGCAUGAAAUUCCUAGAGGUCAAGUAUAGAGUGAGGAACUCUACAUUUAAUCCAGAUAAUGUGGACAGAUUCUGCAAAGGAAAAUUAGAAGGGGCAAUGACAGAGGUAGAAAAAAACCCAGGAAUGGGAGUUAUAGAGGCCAAAAUAAAAAAAGCCCACUUUGCUUUAUAAGGAAAUGAUCAACAGUUUUAAAUGUUGCAAGGUAAAGUAAGAUGAAAUGUGAAAAUGUCCAUUGGAUUUUAGGAUAAGGAAGUCAUUGAUAACCCUGGAAUGUGUUUUUGUCUUUUUUUGUUUUGCUUAUUUGCUUUUUAAUGAUGGAUAUCGGAGACAAUGUAUAGGCUAAGGAGUGAAAUGAGGGUAAGGAUAUGGAGACAGAGUAUAGACAAGUUUUUUGAGAAGAUUUUUAAGGGUAGAAGAGAGAUUAGUAGUUUGCAAGGCAGAUGAGAUAAAGGGAGGCCAGAGGCCUAAUCAUGUUUAAAUCACUGCAGAAAGGAGUCCCAAUUAGAAGACAGAGUAGACAAUAAUGAUAGUUUACGGUGCCCAAAAGAUGGGAUGAGAAGAGAUCCAAAGCACAAUUAGAAGGACUGCUCCUAGGUAGUAAUACAUACAAGUCGUCCACUGGAGGACUAACUGGAGACAAGGAGAGAAAGAAAAUUUCAUUAUGAUUUUAGGUUUGGUAAUGGAAUUAAAGGAGUUCCCAUCAAAUGACUUCAGUUUUCUUUACAAGUAGGAAUAUCAUUUGCUACAUAGCCCUCACCUGUGUAACUGCUGUAUAGCAUCCCCCUUUUACCAUCUUUCUCAGUUAUACCUGAGAAUCUCCUAAAUAUCUAGUCUUAACUAGUCCCCUCACAUUCUUCCUUACCAGAAUCAUCUGGACUCUUCACGAAGGCCUCUAUCACUAUGUGGCCUCUGUUAAAACACUGCUUUACUGGUAACCCUCAUAGUGUCCUUCUCCCCUACCCAGGACACCAGAGCUGCACUGAGCUGUGAGAAAGUCAAUGACCCUUCUCCAACUCUGUCAGUCUUUGUUCCUGGGAUCCAGUGUAUAGCAUCUGCUCAGAGCCUGUCUCUCUUGAACACAGCUCUUCUAUUUCCUGCCCUAAACCUCUCAUGCCAGUGGGUAAACAAACAUCUUGCUAUCUCAGAAUCCUUUUUUUGCCCUUUCUACUCUCUUUUUUUAUAUUUAGGCGAAAAAGUAGUUUUCAUAAAUAUCAAUUAAUGAAAAUAAGCGGUCAGAGGAGUGGCAAAAGCAUGAAGUAAUUAGAAUGUAAAGGGUUUUAAGGAAAAUAGAAGGAUAGAAGGAGUCUGAAAAGAAGGUUUAGAGCAUGGUAAGAACUUUGAACUUCAUACUGUGGUGUUGCCACUGAAAGGUUUGAAAGUUUAUAAGAAAGAAGGUGAUGGAAUGAAAGGAAGACAGGGAUGAGGGCAGGGUAGUGUUAAAUGAUUAUAUUUGCAGUUUUGAAAGAUCAUUUUUGCAGUGGUAAGGAGGGUGAAUUGGAGGCAGGGAGGACAGUGAGCAUAACAAGGGCAGAGAAACCCCAGGUUUCUGGGCUGAGCAGUAAAGCUGACUGGUUGUGGGAUUGGGAACUGGCUUGUAAAAAAGGAAAGAAGUUGAAUUCAUUUCUGACAUGUUGAGCUUCAGGGCCUGUAGCAUAUCAAAAUGGAAAUAACCUGUGGGCAGAUGUCUGCUAUCUGAAGCCCAGGAGAGAAAUCUGGGAUGCAGAUACAGGGCUGGGAACCAUAUAUAAGAAUGAGAUUUCCCAGUGAAGGACACAUAGCAUUCAAAGAGGGAAGACAGGAUGGUGAACUCCAUUAUUUGCAAGGACUGGAGGAGGAGGUAACCAUGAAGUAGAUGAAAAAAGUUGCUAGAAGAAGACCAAACUGAAGUGAUGUCACAAAAGCCAGUGAAGGAGAGAACUUCACAAAUGGGGACUUAAUCAAAUAAGUCAAGUAAGGUCAAGAUGGAUUGACAAUUCAUAAGUCUGUACGUAGCUUAAUGGAAGGAAAAGACAUGCUGAUGUGGAACGAAGAGUAACUGGGAUGCUAGGUGGAGACAAUGUAGGAAACUCAAAGUGGAAGGCAAAAUUCAGUGUGGUAGCUUGCUGGGUAAAGGAAAGGUGGUGGUUGAUUCUUUUUAGAAUGGCAGAAACAUGAGCUCAUUUUAUAGACUGAAGGAAAAGAGUCAAUGGAAGGAAGAGAUUAAGAAUGUAAGGGAAUUUGUUUAUAAUUGAUAAGGUGUUUCAGGGUACACCGUGGAAAGGGAUGACAGAGCAGUUGUGAGAAGAGUGAUGAGAGUAUGCUAGAAUGUGGUCGCCAAGGCCCAAGUGGAAUGUGGCAGAGAGAAAUGCAUGGAACUAGCCAAAUUCUGUAUUUUAAAUCAGUUUUGAUAGUGCUUUUGGUCAUUACUGAGGCAGGUGUCAGGUGCUGGGGGAUGCUGGUUGUCAUUUGCAACCAAUCCCCACAAAUCUAAACACAACUGGAAUAUUGUAAUUGUCCAUUACAAAAUGUAAGUACUUUGCUCAUAAUAAGCAUCCAAAUGGAUUAGGCUGCUCUGGACUUUUCUGGAAAAGAGAGAAGGGAAAUUAUUAAUAAUAAACGUGUAGGAAGGGGUAGUGAGGAGAGGGAAAAUACCAAGGGAAGAAAGAUGAAAUAACAAAGCCUGGCACCAGAAUUAAAAAGACCCUGUGUAAGUAAAAUGUGUUUGUCUAUGCUUUCCAGGAAUAAAAGAAAAUUUUGGGUUUUUCUUUUCUUUUCUUUCUUUCUUUCUUUUUUUUUUUUUUUUAACUCUGAACUGUUUAUUUCUUUCAAGCUGUGUCUUGAUGCCUGGAGUAAUGAAAAUCUUCCCAGGGCAAGAGUUGUUAACUUUGGCUCCUGCUACUGCUUCCUAGAAAUGAGUAAUGUAAGAAUCUCCUGGUUGCUGGUGAUUGUUCUCCAAGGUUCUGAGCACAAAGGAGGUGCCACCCUGAGCCUGAACCUCUUUGCAGAGACACACUUGAAGAUGAACUGACUAUAUUAACUACAGAGAGGACCUCUGCCUUGGAGAUGGAAGCCUGUUAAGAGAAAAGCUGCGAUGUCUCGGAUUUCUUUCCAUUGUGUUUCGCUUUAAAAAUUUUAAACUUUGCUUCAGUCCUAAAGCCUGUGGUACAAGAACACAGCUUUCCAAUCUUAACUAUUUUCCAAUGUAGGAUAAACAUGUUGGGUUUAGUUAAAUUAUGAAUGCUGAUAAUAUUCAUUUGGUACAAUUUAUAUUCUUCUUUUAUCUUUUUAUUUUUGACAGUUUAGGCUAGGGCAUAAAGCAUUAUUAUAUUCUUGGCAUCCUCCCUUAGAAGUUUUAAAUCAGUUCAUGAGGCUUUCAGCGCGCUUCCUGUCAUUCAUCCAUCAGCAUCCAGUCCAUUUAAUCCCGGCCUCUCAGCCGAGCUGCCCUAGCCCCUGUUGUGAGUGAUUGGCCUGCUCCAGCGCUCCCAGCUUCUCCUGUCACAUCGCAUUUGCAUAAAAGAGGACAGAUAACCAAAUUUGAGCACACAAAUGAAAAUGCUAAGCGCUAAACCUGUCACAGUUGUUGUUCAACUAAUUGUGAAAAAUUUGAUUUGCUUGCCUUUCACUGUUUGUCAUGUGGACCCCCUUCUCAAAUGUGCCUUGGCUUCUGCCUCUGUACAUGUAGCUUUUAAACUCUUGAGCACAAGCAGCCCACCCUGGGGAUUACUUACCUCUCCUACCAGCUUUUAAUGUUGGCUCAUCUUCUUGACUAAAUUAGGCCACCAUGGCAAACAAACACAUAAUUAAAAACCCAGGAAAGACAACUGCAGUUGCACUUCUUAAAUUGAUUUUUACAAUGCUGAUGGAUGCCUCUGUGUGUUCUUCCAUUUGAUAAUUUUAUUUCUUUAUAUAACCUUUUGGUAGGAGAAAAUUAAGAAUGGGCGUUGUAGAAACCUUUAUGUUAUUUUAAAACCUAUGUGUUAUUUUGCUCCUUUCUGUUCCUCAAAUAACAAAACUUGUAUAAUGGGUCUUAAAAAGCAUAUUUCUGUUCCGUAAUACUUUACCUGCCAUACCAGUAUACAUUUUUAAUCAAGGUUUCAAAUGAUUCCAUUUGAAAUUGUAUUAGAAACAAUGGAUAAAAUUCCUUUGCUCACAAUACUCAAUCACAUGAGCUGUUUAAAUGGUAGGUAGUAUGAGUGUUUUGAAAAUUUGUAUGUGUACUAUGUACAGUCUCGUUCAAUAUUUGUUAUAAAGAGGCUUUAACUUGUUUUUACAGGCAUUAAGUUGGUAAUUUCUUGAUGCUCAUUAAAACAAUACAUAAUGGUAUCUCUAUAAAGUCAAAAACCUUGUUUUCCAGGAGUCGCACGAGAAAAUGUCUCUUUCAUUUAUAACAAUACCUCUCAUUGCUUUACUGCAUUAAUUUGUUUCUAAUAUUUUAGGUAUGUGAUGUUCAAGCAACAAAGAAGAGGGCAUUAACUAAAGUUGAAACCUUUUAGGGUUGAAUACAGCUUAAAUUACCUUGAAGAAUUGGAGGGUUAUAUUCUUGAAAUUGGGUUAAAAUGAAAUGUGACAUUACAGUGACAGUUUGUGGUUUGCAAAAGUUGGAUGCAACAUCAUUUAUUGCAGUAUUCCUUUGGGAUUUAUUUUUAGUAGGUCAUAUGAAAUGGAUUAAAGAAAUAUUUGAACGG